GUGCCAUAAAAGCCAGCUUGGCAGAGGGAGGGUCUCUGGGGCAAAAGUCGGAGACACCGUGAUGGUUGAUGGUUUCACCAAGCCCAAGAUGACCUCCAAGAGUUGGUACAAGACUGAAGACAAGAGCUGGCAAACUGCCCAGAGUAAACUACCACCCUGCAAGCAACAGUCAAGCAGGAAACCUGUCUAUUCUUUACCAGUGUCACAGCGAGACACCAGAAAACAAAUCUUCACAUUCCCGUCCUUAGUAGACGUGAAGAGCUUUUCAGAAGUGCGAAGUCAUCAACAAGACAACCAGAAAAAAAUGUCUGCCCCAGCUAGAAAAGAAAAGCACAUCAAAAACCCCUAUCUCCCCCAGGUCCCCCUCCCUCCCGUUUCAAGAGUGGAUUAUGCACACCCUCUCUUCUACUGCCCUCCGCCCAGGGCGGACUGUUUGCUAAGGUCGCUCUUCACAUCGUUCUCAGAGCACAGUGGGAGGACUCCACGCGAGAAUGCCAUUUACUGCUUAGCUGUGGCAAGUGCCUUUAAAGAGAAGCGAUGGCUUCAGCAGUUAGAAAUAGCAAGAGUCCUAGCCAAAAGGAGCAUUUCUAACCUGACUGUCAAAGGAGGUCCGGCAAAGUGUGAAAACUAUCCAGAAACUGUGCUUUGAAAAGUCACGGCAGCCCUGUUUGAAUAGAGAUAUGGCCAAACAGAAGCUCCAAUUCUGAUGGCAACAUAUCUAAUAGUAGUUCUAAUGCUACACAACUUCGACCUGAUGAGGAGCAAUGUUUAACAGCAAGCUUCCGUGAACACUGUAUUAUUCAAAACUCUCUAGAGAGCAGAACCUAUAGAAUGAGUACGUAUUAAAAGGGCUUAUUGGAUUGGCUUACAUGGUGUAGUUUGGAUAGUCCAACAACAGGUGCCUUCACACUGAAGAACCAGGUGCCUGCUCAACCCAGGAGGCUGGAUGAUCCCACAAUCUCAACCAGCUGCCAAAGGUGUGAAAGAUUCUUGGUCUUCCCUCCACAUCAGCAGCCAGAAGAAGAUGGAUUUUCCUAUCAGGAAAGCAGGGCAUGAAGGCAAGCAGGCAAGAAGCAAAGGUUCCCCCUGGGACCUCCUUACAUGUGGCCGCUAUGAAAAAGAAUGGGGUUCGUAUAUUUAAAUGAUUCAUUUGUUUGCUUGUUGUUGUUGUUGCUGCUGUUGUUGCCGUUGUAGUUGCUGUUUUGUUUGUUGAGGAAGUGUGUCACUUGGGGGUGGGCUUUGAGGUUUCAAAUGCCCAUGCCUGUCCCAGUCUCUCUCUGCCUGUGCAUCAGAACAUAGCUCUCAGCUAAUGGACCUGGUGUGCUCCUCAUUAGGAUGAUAACAGAUUAAACCUCUGAAACUAUAAGCCAGCCCCCAACUAAAUGCUUUCGUUCAUAAGAGUUGCCUUGCUCAUGGUGUCUCUUCGCAGCAAUAGAAGAGUGACUAGGAGACCUGCCUGUAGAAGAUGCCAUUUAAAGUGGACCUACUCA
rnacentral:lncRNA from 1 species